rnacentral:rRNA from 1 species
UGAUUAAAUCGAGCAAUCGGCUUCGGGAGGGGCUUGCGGCCUAUCAGCUAGUUGGUGGGGUAACGGCCUACCAAGGCGACGACGGGUAGCUGGUCUGAGAGGACGGCCAGCCGGACUGGGACUGAGAUACGGCCCAGACUCCUACGGGGGGCAGCAAUUAGGAAUCUUGCGCAAUGGGCGAAAGCCUGACGCAGCGACGCCGCGUGGAGGAGGAAGUCCCUCGGGAUGUAAACUCCUUUUGCCAGGGAAGAAACAAAUGACGGUACCUGGGAAUAAGCCCCGGCUAACUACGUGCCAGCAGCCGCGGUAAUACGUAGGGGGCGAGCGUUGUCCGAAGUUACUGGGCGUAAAGCGCGCGUAGGCGGGGGAUUAAGUGAGAGGUGAAAGGCUGGGGCUUAACCCCAUGCAGGUCCUCUCAUACUGGUCUUCUUGAGGGCGGUAGGGAGAAGUGGAAUGGCUGGUGUAGCGGUGAAAUGCGU